ACUAAAUUAAAAUGGCGGACGCAUCAAGAGUGAAGAGUGGAGCUUUAUAAAACCAUUCAACAAUUGUCUUUUAAAAAACAACCAAAUAAAUAUUUUGAAAAACAACUACUGGAAGAUAUCUCCUGAUUCAGAUUUAUGAGCAAGACAAUCGUGCUUCAAUGGUCAAAGUAGCUCUUCUGAGUGUGUUUCAUCAGCGACAUCAACGCCAUGUGGGUCAACAUCACUGAAUGAAACUGCUUCAAUACGAAAGCUUACAAGUGAAGAUAUAGAUAGAAGAGAGGAUUUUGAUGGCGAGUAUGGUUAUCGAAUGAUUGAACUUUCAAACCUAGCAAGUGCAUUUCAGUCCUUGCAUAAUUGGGAAUUAGGUGGAAAGUUGAAAGUUACCAAUGAUGAGUCUCGUAGAUAUGGAAAUAGCAAAGUCAUUGUUGAGUCAGAUGUUGCAGAGAUUGCUGUGAGUUAUGAUGGCACAUGGGCUAAGCAAGGGUUCACUGCAAACUUUGGAAUUGAUUUUGUUAUUUCUGUUGACACUGGUGAGGUUCUUGACUAUGGUUUUGGAUCCAAAUUAUCGAAGUUUGACAUGGGUCCCAUUUUUAUUAAAAUCGGUCAAGUAUUCGCACAGGAAUCGCAAAUUAAAAUCAGCAAACCACUUUGAAUUAUCACCGGAGUUUAUCGGCAUUAUCAUACCAUGUGAUCUUCUACGAUUGUCAGCAAGAUUGAAGAUUGUUCGAAGAAGAAGGAGUUCGCCGUUGACUAAAACGUUUAUCUGAACAGCCAGUUGUCAAAAGAUGAAGUAGAAAUAUUUUCUUAAAGCUGUGACAGUUUAAUAUCAGUUCAACUGAUUCAGUUGGGGAACUUGUGGAGGUGAAUUUCAAAAUAGCGAUGCCACAGAGAUGAUGCCAUGUGGACCUUGUGGCUUUCACCUUUGUGGGCAAGCUGGUCGUGCUGUGUGUUCAAACAUGAAGAUGAAGCCGAUUUCGAGGGAAUCUUUCAACGUGCUAGCCAGUAAAGAUUUGUGUUGGAUAUGUUCCUGUUUCUUCAGAAGCCAAGGCUUCCUAGUGGCCACGUUGCAUUUUGAGGUAUAUACUUUGAUGAUUGGAAUUUACCCUCUUCGAUAGCCAAGGUUCAAAUAACUCAAACAAGCUGCAUUGCUGACCUUUUUGUCUCUGGUAGAAGAACACGAAUGUUGGCUUUGUUUUAUUUUGAAAUCCCCGUUGGCAGGUGAGAAAGAUCAUUGUUAAGUUUUAUCUGACUCCAGGAUGUAUUUGAUAUGUUAUGCUGAUAUAGACAGAGCCACAGCAUCGGCAUUGCAAAUCCUACUAUCACAUUUGUUAGGAGAUGCUGGCAGUCCUAAUAUUGUGGGUUUGGCAUUUCUUUCUUCAUCAUUCAUGGUAACCGACUGAAUACAAAUUUAAACAAUUCAAACAAACUGCAUUGCUGACUUUUUUGUCCCUGGAAGAAGAACACAAAUGUUGGCUUUGUUUUCUUUUGAAAUCCCUGUUGGCAGUGGUCUCUCAAGAUGUUGUUGGUUCAAAAGUAUCUUCUGCAUUUAGUGGUGACAAUUAUUUUAUAAUAGAGAAAACACAGGGGGCAAAUUGAAAAGACUCAGGGUGAUAUCGUUGCAGACAAGGAUGUUAUCAUUCGUCGUUCAUGGUUGAAUGAUGUGAAACAUAUGUUAUGCUGAUACAGACAGAGCCACAGCAUGGGCUUGCAAAUCUUGCUAUCAUAUUUGUUAGGAGAUGCUGGCAGCCUUAUAUUGUGGGUUUGGUAUGUAAUAUAUAAUUUGUUGUGCCUAAUAAAGCU